ensembl:misc_RNA Y_RNA Y RNA
GGUAAUCUGAGUGCAGUGGUAUUCACAACUAGUUGAUCAUAACCAGUUACAGAUUCCUUUGUUCCUUCUCCACUCUUACUGCUUCACUUGACUAGCCUUUU